rnacentral:lncRNA from 1 species
AAUGCCCUGGGUUCCACAUCCAAGACUCUAAUGACUCGAUCCUCUAGGUAAGUUAGCCUUGGCCUCUUCUCUCAUGCUCACUAUUUUAGUACUAACAUUUUUUAUUUCAGCAAAUUCACCACCUCAAGUACUUCAUCGAGGUGCUAAGGUCUUGAGGAUGUCCAGGCAGGCGGCGGAUGAGGUCGAGGCAAGAGCUCAAGCCAUCGAGGAGAAGAUGGCCGAGGCAUUAAAGGCCAAGGGGAAGGCUAGGCAUGCCCUGCUCGAGGCUAGCUAAGAGAUUAAUACCCUGAAAUUC